rnacentral:rRNA from 1 species
AUUGAACGCUAGUGGCGUGCCUAAUACAUGCAAGUCGAACGCAGUUGCGAACGGGUGUGUAACGCGUCGGUAACUGCCUCAUAGCGGGGGAUAACCUUUGGAAACGAUAGCUAAUACCGCCUACUGUGAGAUGGACCUGAGUUGUAUUAGCUAGUUGGUGGGGUAAAGGCUCACCAAGGCGACGAUACAUAGCCGAGCUGGGAGGGUGGACGGCCAAACUGGGAAUGGGGCACGGGCCAGGCUCCUACGGGGAGGAGCCAGAGGGGAACAUCGGAAAUGGGCGGAAAUCUGACCGAGCAACGCCGCGUGAGUGGAGAAAGUUUUCGGGUCGUAAAGCUCUGUUGUUAGAGGAGCGGUAACUAACCAGAAAGGGACGGCUAACUACGUGCCAGCAGCCGCGGUAAUUC